GCUUGCGUGGCGCAAUUGGAUAGCGCAUUGGACUUCUAAUCCAGAGGUUGUGGGUUCGAGUCCCACCGUUAGCU
rfam:Blastocystis sp. NandII AV274scaffold_100, whole genome shotgun sequence.